AGAGAGAGAGAGAGAGAGAGAGAGAGAGAGAGAGAGAGAGAGCACUGCUAAAAGGACAGAAGAUUAAAAGGUCAGACUUUGUGGUGUAAAGAUGGCCAGUGCUCCUUUACCUUUCACUAAUGUGGGAAGCGGCUACACCGUCGUCACUCAAGUUAUUCCCUCAG